UGGUGCUUGUGGUGGUAACUGUGGUGGUGGUGCUGUUGUUGUGGUGGGUGGUCUUCACUGCUCGUAUUCUCCGUUCGUAGGUAAGUCUUUGUGCUUUAAACACUUAUUUCUCCGGAUUGGGUUAAUCCGCUAGAUCACCGGAUUGUAUAAUCGGUGCAAUGAACUUCAUGUUAUCCACCCCUAUAAUCCGGAAUGUUUUUACAAUCCGUAAGACAACAUUAAAGUGUUUUGGAUUAGUUAAACCGGGGGUAAACCGGAUCCGGAACAAACAUACUCACUUUUCCGAAUUGUGUAAUCUGGUACAUUAAAAUGAACUAUGGAUUACGUAAUUCGGAAGUCAUUUUAGAACUUUAAAUAUGACUUAUGGAUUAUGUAAUCCGGAAUGCAAUUUGCUGUUUUAAUUUGACUUAUGGAUUAAACAAUCCGGAAGUCACUUUGAAGUUGUGAAAUGCAUUACGGAUUAUCUAAUCUGGAAGGUACUAUUUUACUUAUGGAUUACACUAUCCGGAAGGGUAAUUGAAUGUUGUUUUUAUUUUGCAUACUUGUGUGAAUUUAUGAAAAUUAGAAUAAAAUAGAAAUUUAUGUUUUAUGAAUGAAGGUGUAAGUAUGGACAUGGAGGUUGGAUUGAUUACAAAAAGAUCGGAUGAAGUAGAAAUGAUAUAUAUGGAAGAAUUAAUGAAUUUUGUGCAUCAACAUGAAUUAGUUGAAGAGGAUUAUGGUAC
rnacentral:lncRNA from 1 species